UUGCAGUUAAAAAGCUCGUAGUUGGAUUUCGGAGUGGGCCAGUUGGUCCGCCGCAAGGUGUGUUACUGACUGGUUUGCUCUUCUUCGCAAAGACUGCGAGUGCUCUUGAGUGAGUUUGCGUAGGAUUUACGAACUUUACUUUGAAAAAAUUAGAGUGUUCAAAGCAGGCUAUUGCUUGAAUACAUGAGCAUGGAAUAAUGGAAUAGGACUUUGGUCCCAUUUUGUUGGUUUCUAGGGCCGAAGUAAUGAUUAAGAGGGACAAUUGGGGGCAUCCGUAUUUCGUUGUCAGAGGUGAAAUUCUUGGAUUUACGAAAGACGAACAACUGCGAAAGCACUUGCCAAGAGUGUUUUUAUUAAUCAAGAACGAAAGUUAGAGGAUCGAAGACGAUCAGAUACCGUCCUAGUUCUAACCAUAAACGAUGUCGACUAGGGAUCAGCGGGCGUUAUCGUACGACCCCGUUGGCACCUUACGGGAAACCAAAGUUUUUGGAUUCCGGGGGAAGUAUGGUUGCAAAGCUGAAACUUAAAGGAAUUGACGGAAAGGCACCACCCGGAGUGGAGCCUGUGGCUCAAUUUGACUCAACACGGGAAAACUUACCAGGUCAGACAUAGUAAGGAUUGACAGGUUGAGAGCC
rnacentral:rRNA from 1 species